UAAGCGGAGGAAAAGAAACUAACUAGGAUUCCCUCAGUAGCUGCGAGCGAACAGGGAAAAGCCCAGCACCGAAUCCCGCGGCCGAUACCGGACGCCGGGAAAUGUGGUGUUAGGGAGGAUCCGUUUAUCCCGAGGUCGUGCGGUGCGUCCAAGUCCUUCUUGAACGGGGCCACAGCCCAUAGAGGGUGCCAGGCCCGUAGUGACCGCUGCCGAUCGCGAGAGGAUCUCUCCUCAGAGUCGGGUUGCUUGAGAGUGCAGCCCUAAGUGGGUGGUAAACUCCAUCUAAGGCUAGACAUGACCACGAGACCGAUAGCGAACAAGUACCGUGAGGGAAAGUUGAAAAGCACUUUGAAGAGAGAGUUCAAGAGUACGUGAAACCGUUCAGGGGUAAACCUGAGAAACCCGAAAGGUCGAAAGGGGAAAUUCAUUCGCGUUUAUUUCGUCGUCCGCGCCUUCCAUUUUUCGAACCGGCGUCGAACGCGUGCACUUUUCCUCUAGUAGGUCGUCGCGAUCCGUUGGGUGUCGGUCCUCGCAGUGGAGUCCGAAUGGACGUUUCGUUCGGACCUGCGGUGUCCCGACCGACUCGCUCGACGGUAUACAGAUGGCGCGGGGCCGCUACUAAAUCAGCGUUCGGCCCACGGCAAGCGCGUUCGUGACGGCGAUCGGACCUGGUGCCGGUCCUAUCCCCGAACGACUGUUGGCCGGUCUCGAACAGACCCCGCUGAAACGCCGAUCUGCGACGCUAUAGCUUUGGGUACUUUCAGGACCCGUCUUGAA
rnacentral:rRNA from 1 species